GGAUCAAUAUUUCGGUCAUGCCGUUGGUAUGCACUGUUAUCAUUGAUUUCUCACCUUCUAAAGAACCGUAAUGCCAUUAAUUUGGUGUUACGUGGAAUUAGGACUGUUACCUUGAAAAAAUUAGAGUGUUUAAAGCAGGCUCACGCUUGAAUACAUUAGCAUGGAAUAAUGAAAUAGGACAUCCGAUUCUAUUUUGUUGGUUUCUAGGAUCGAUGUAAUGAUUAAUAGGGAUAGUUGGG
rnacentral:rRNA from 1 species